GAUGAAGAACGUAGCGAAAUGCGAUAAGUAAUGUGAAUUGCAGAAUUCAGUGAAUCAUCGAAUCUUUGAACGCACAUUGCGCCCUCUGGUAUUCCGGGGGGCAUGCCUGUCCGAGCGUCAUUGCUGCCCUCAAGCACGGCUUGUGUGUUGGGCCUCCGUCCUCCUCCCGGGGGACGGGCCCGAAAGGCAGCGGCGGCACCGCGUCCGGUCCUCGAGCGUAUGGGGCUUCGUCACCCGCUCUUGUAGGCCCGGCCGGCGCUUGCCGACACAUCAAUCUUUUUUCCAGGUUGACCUCGGAUCAGGUAGGGAUACCCGCUGAACUUAAGCAUAUCAAUAAGCGGAGGA
rnacentral:misc_RNA from 1 species